GACGAACGCUGGCGGCGUGCCUAAUACAUGCAAGUAGAACGCUGAAAGAGGAGCUUGCUUCUCUGGAUGAGUUGCGAACGGGUGAGUAACGCGUAGGUAACCUGCCUGGUAGCGGGGGAUAACUAUUGGAAACGAUAGCUAAUACCGCAUAAGAGUAGAUGUUGCAUGACAUUUGCUUAAAAGGUGCAAUUGCAUCACUACCAGAUGGACCUGCGUUGUAUUAGCUAGUUGGUGGGGUAACGGCUCACCAAGGCGACGAUACAUAGCCGACCUGAGAGGGUGAUCGGCCACACUGGGACUGAGACACGGCCCAGACUCCUACGGGAGGCAGCAGUAGGGAAUCUUCGGCAAUGGACGGAAGUCUGACCGAGCAACGCCGCGUGAGUGAAGAAGGUUGUCGGAUCGUAAAGCUCUGUUGUAAGAGAAGAACGAGUGUGAGAGUGGAAAGUUCACACUGUGACGGUAUCUUACCAGAAAGGGACGGCUAACUACGUG
rnacentral:rRNA from 1 species